rnacentral:lncRNA from 1 species
UUGGGGAUCUGAAAAGAAAAGAAAAGAUGAUGUUCGGAAAAAGGAAGGAGGCUCCGGCGAGAGAGACGGGGAGUUUUUAAAGGGUUGUUGCCUCUCUCUUGCCAUAACAUCAUGUUGAGCCGAGGUAAAAUGUCUGCAGUCUCUGCGGACCACAUCUGCAGUCAUCUGUAGCAGAAGAGUUGGACCAAACCUCUGCAGUCUGCAAAAAGAAGACUGUUUGUUUUUAACUGCUGCUCAAAUCACUUUAGCCGGACAAAUUGAAGCUAGCAACAACGAAAUAACUACAACUCAAAAUCAGAUCAAUCGCACAAAAACGCACUCUACGUAUACUGUAUACACAAUAAAUCGAAAACCUAAACACACAUAUAUAUGCAACGAUUAACAGCUUAACAACAUAUAACUAGAUCAAAUUAGGUUACCUAAGUAUUAUCGAACUUAUACAUGAAUCGAGUGAUGAUGCUCGUUUUUCCAACUGACAUGAAUCGAGUGAUGAUGCUCGUUUUUCCAACUGACUGAUAUGGGGUAACCGAUUUUCAGUGAUUUCGGGACCCGGCGACAACGGCAGUGGAAACGAUGUUCGAGGAAACACAUUCAUCAGCUCGCUCUUUGUUUGUACCAUUUGAUCAUGCAACAAAAGCUUUUCUUCCACCAGUUGACGUCCAUUCUGCUUCUUUGCUCUUGUUAAUCUCAUUGAAAGUAUUAAACUUGUUUUGAAGAAGCUCUAUGAUUAAAGAAGAAUUAACAGCUUCUUGGAUUUGGGAUUCUUUAAGUUUCUUGACAGCAAGAACCAAUUAUUUAUUUUCUUCCUCGAUUUGAAGAAUCCUGCAUUCCAUCUCCUUACAAACACCAUCUUUCUUAAUUGUCAAUCUUUCAAGUUUUAACUUUAUAUCUUCAUUGCAUGAUUCUGAUUCUAAAAGCUGACUCUGUAAGCACCUUCUUUGGUUCUCUUCAACGUUUCAUCCACCCGAAUUAGAACAAAAUUUUGUACGGUUUUAGACGGACUUACGACCAUUUGAGUCUCCCUACCCCUGUAAUCGUUAAUGAACUCUGAACUAUCGAUCGUACGCUUCCAUCCCCGGGAAACCGUUCUGAACCUUAACAAUGAUCUUGUAGGGAGGCCUUUUAGUACCAUCUCCUGGAUUUCCAUUGCCACAUAACUCGACAUUGUGUUAAAACGAUCAAGACUUCAACAAAGAAUAUAGAAAUUGAGGUGGGCUAUUGUGUUAAAAGAUCAAGAAGAAAAGGGGCUACUGGAAAUCAAGAAAGAAGAAAAGGGCUACUGUGUUAAAAGAUCAAGAUGAAAGAAUAUAGAAAUUGGAUGCUGUAUAGAGGUGGGUUGGAUAUGUAUAUAUAAGGUUGGAUUUGGAAUAUCGCAUGGUUUUCUUCGAUUUUUUCUUGAUUUUUUCGUUGUAAUCAAUUAAUUAAUAUUAAUGAACAAUAUUUCUGU